rnacentral:tRNA from 1 species
AUGGAGUUGCUCAGUUGGUAGAGCAUGAGAUUUUUAAUCCUAGGGUUGUGGGUUCAGGUCUCACACUGAAUG